GUCGAGGAUCAUUCGCAAUGGGCGAAAGCCUGACGAUGCGACGCUGCGUGGAGGAUGAAGGCCCUCGGGUCGUAAACUCCUGUCAUGGGGGGCGAGGCGGAGGCGGUUAACGGCCGCCCGAGUUGACGGUACCCCAAGAGGAAGCCACGGCUAACUCUGUGCCAGCAGCCGCGGUAAUACAGAGGUGGCGAGCGUUGUUCGGAUUUACUGGGCGUAAAGGGCGCGUAGGCGGCCGCGUGUGUGGGGUGUGAAAUCUCCGGGCUCAACCCGGAAAGUGCGCUCCAAACUGCGCGGCUCGAGUGCGGGAGGGGAGAUCGGAAUGCAGGGUGUAGCGGUGAAAUGCGUUGAUAUCCUGCAGAACACCGGUGGCGAAGGCGGAUCUCUGGAACGCAACUGACGCUGAGGCGCGAAAGCAGGGGGAGCAAACAGGAUUAGAUACCCCAGUAGUCC
rnacentral:rRNA from 1 species